rnacentral:rRNA from 1 species
GACAGAGGCCCCGAGCGUUAGGCGGAAUCACUGGGCUUAAAGCGCGUGUAGGCGGAGGGCUAAGUACCUUGUGAAAUCCCCGGGCUCAACCCGGGAACUGCUUGGUAUACUGGUCCUCUUGAGGCAUCUAGGGGCGAGCGGAACAAACGGUGGAGCGGUGAAAUGCGUAGAUAUCGUUUGGAACGCCAACGGAGAAAUCAGCUCGCUGGGGAUGUCCUGACGCUGAGACGCGAAAGCCAGGGGAGCGAACGGG